ACCCGAAACCAUGUGACCUACCCAUGAGCAGGUUGAAGGUGCGGUAAGACGCACUGGAGGACCGAACCAGGGCACGUUGAAAAGUGCUUGGAUGACUUGUGGGUAGCGGAGAAAUUCCAAACGAACUUGGAGAUAGCUGGUUCUCUCCGAAAUAGCUUUAGGGCUAGCGUCGACAUUAGAGAUUCUUGGAGGUAGAGCACUGUUUGGGUGAGGGGUCCAUCCCGGAUUACCAAUCUCAGAUAAGCUCCGAAUGCCAAUGAAUUAUGGUCGGCAGUCAGACUGCGAGUGCUAAGAUCCGUAGUCGAAAGGGAAACAGCCCAGACCACCAGCUAAGGUCCCAAAAUAAUUGUUAAGUGGAAAAGGAUGUGGGGUUGCACAGACAACUAGGAUGUUAGCUUAGAAGCAGCUAUUCAUUCAAAGAGUGCGUAAUAGCUCACUAGUCGAGUGACCCUGCGCCGAAAAUGUACCGGGGCUAAAACAAUUUACCGAAGCUGUGGAUACCUUUA
rnacentral:rRNA from 1 species